rnacentral:rRNA from 1 species
UACAGAGGGUGCUAGCGUUGUUCGGAAUCACUGGGCGUAAAGGGCGCGUAGGCGGCCUGAUAAGUAGGGGGUGAAAUCCUGCGGCUUAACCGCAGGGCUGCCUUCUAAACUGUCAGGCUAGAGCACAGUAGAGGCAGGUGGAAUUCCCGGUGUAGCGGUGGAAUGCGUAGAGAUCGGGAAGAACAUCAGUGGCGAAGGCGGCCUGCUGGGCUGUUGCUGACGCUGAGGCGCGACAGCGUGGGGAGCAAACAGG